rnacentral:rRNA from 1 species
AGGACGAACGCUGGCGGCGUGCCUAACACAUGCAAGUCGAACGGGGUCCAUCUGGUAGCAAUACCGGAGAAGACCUAGUGGCGAACGGGUGAGUAUCACGUGAGCAACCUGCCCCGAAGACCGGGAUAACACCGGGAAACCGGUGCUAAUACCGGAUAUCCCCAUCAGGUCGCAUGGCCAGGUGAGGAAAUGGGUUUCCGCUUCGGGAGGGGCUCGCGGCCUAUCAGCUAGUUGGUGCGGUAAAGGCCCACCAAGGCGACGACGGGUAGCUGGUCUGAGAGGACGAUCAGCCACACUGGGACUGAGACACGGCCCAGACUCCUACUGGAGGCAGC